rnacentral:sRNA from 1 species
ACUCACUCUUCGCCGUCGUCGCCGCCGCUACCGCCGCUGCUGCCGCCUGGGAGUCCGGCUCUCCGCGCUCCCGGGACCGCCCGACCUCUCCUCCCUACUCCGCUCCGGCUCCUCCCCUCGCGCGUGGGCGGGGCGCACGGCCCGGUGGGCGGGGCGGCUGCCACCACCCCCUCCGCUCCGGCCCACGGGCCCCGGACGUGGUCGUCGCGCCCAACUGCGGCCGUCGGGGGUCAGGACACGCGUGCCCGAGGCUGGGGGUUGAUGCGGCUCGCUGCGGUGAGGUGGGCCCGGGCAACCACGCGAGGCCACCACCAUGCACCACCACCAGGACCACACACCGCCGAGUUAUCCGCAGUCCCCAGGCUGGGAAGAUGAGCUCUGCCAAACCCCACACAAAAGUGGGGCUCUGAUCCAGAAAGGUCUGAGGAAACGGCCACCGUCAUAUUUAAAGGACUCUGGGGCCACAGGGAGGUUGUUUCCCAGAAAUGAAGUGUUAGGAAACACUUGGCUGAUUCAGAUCGCGACAGUUCAAAGAUGCACCCUAAACAGAAUGGCCAGACACAAGAAUGGACUAUUAUGGUUGUGAUUUCCACCACUGGAUCAUUAUAUAGCCCAGUUAAGUACUUCAUGUACUUUUAAUUUUUCUCUCACUAAUCUGUGACAAGAACAAACAAAGUGGCUUGUUGAAGAAUGUCUGUUGUUGAAGAAUUGUAACCACAGAACAGUCUUUAAGCGGUUAUCUGCAUAAGGAGAGAACAGAAAUCCAAGAUCAUGUACAAACUUGUGCAGAAAUUGUCUAUUGACAUCAAGUUGUUUGAAAUACGGUCUUUUAUUUUGUCUCCCCUCACACAUUAUCCAUUUUUUAUUUCUUUUUUUGUACUAAAAGGUCAGCCUGCAACAAAUUAAGAAUAAAAUACAAUUAAUCAUUUAUACCCGCAGGAGUCUGCAUCUUCAAAUUCAACUACAGAUUGAAAGUAUUUGAAAAUAAAGUUGAGUCUGUC